rnacentral:rRNA from 1 species
CCUACGGGAGGCAGCAGUAGGGAAUUUUGCGCAAUGGGCGAAAGCCUGACGCAGCAACGCCGCGUGAUCGAGACGCCCUUCGGGGUGUAAAGAUCUGUCAGUGGGGACGAAACUUGACGGUACCCACAGAGGAAGCACCGGCUAACUCCGUGCCAGCAGCCGCGGUAAUACGGGGGGUGCAAGCGUUGUCCGGAAUCAUUGGGCGUAAAGAGGUCGUAGGCGGCACGUAAAGUCUGGUGUUAAAGGAAGAGGCUCAACUUCUGUACGGCACUGGAUACUUGCGAGCUAGAAUGCGGUAGAGGUAAAGGGAAUUCCUGGUGUAGCGGUGAAAUGCUUAGAUAUCAGGAGGAACAUCGGUGGCGUAAGCGCGUUACUGGGCCGUAAUUGACGCUGAGGAACGAAAGCCAGGGUAGCAAAUGGGAUUAGAUACCCUGGUAGUC